UCAACGGGUGAGUAAACCCG
rnacentral:snRNA from 1 species